UUUAUUGAGAGUUUGAUCCUGGCUCAGGAUGAACGCUGGCGGCGUGGAUUAGGCAUGCAAGUCAAGGGGGUCCGCAGCAAUGCGGGCAGCCGGCGAACGGGGUAGUAACACGUACAUUACGUGCCUCCAACACGGGCAUAACUCUGGGAAACCAGGGCUAAUUCCCGAUAGUUCUCGUAAGAGUAAAGGUGCCCUUUUGGGUUUCCGGUUGGAGAUCGGUGUGCGGGCUAUCAGCUUGUUGGUAGGGUAAAGGCCUACCAAGGCGAUGACGGCUAGGGGAGGUGAGAGCCUGUCCCCCACCAAUGGCACUGCGACACGGGCCAUACACCUACGGGUGGCAGCAGUCGAGAAUCUUCCACAAUGGGCGAAAGCCUGAUGGAGCGACGCCGCGUGACCGACGAAGUUCUUCGGAAUGUAAAGGUCUUUUCUGAAGGAAAAACGCAAGUGAUAUUACUUCAGGAAUAAGGGGUUGCUAAACUCGUGCCAGCAGCCGCGGUAAUACGAGUGCCCCGAGCGUUAUCCGGAAUCACUGGGCGUAAAGGGUGUGUAGGGGGUAAUGUUAGUCUUGCUUUAAAUUCUUUUGCUUAACAAAGGAACUGGGCAGGAAACGGCAUUACUUAGAGGAUGCGAGAGGUUAAUGGAACUCUGGGUGUAGGGGUGAAAUCCGUUGAUAUCCAGGGGAACACCAAAAGCGAAGGCAAUUAACUGGCGCAGUCCUGACCCUGAAACACGAAAGCGUGGGUAGCGAAAGGGAUUAGAUACCCCUGUAGUCCACGCCCUAAACGAUGUUCUCUAGCUUUUCGGAGUAUCGACCCUCUGGGAGGCGAAGCUAACGCGUUAAGAGAACCGCCUGGGAAUUACGACCGCAAGGUUAAAACUCAAAGGAAUAGACGGGGACUUGCACAAGCGGUGGAUCAUGCGGUUUAAUUCGAUGAUGAACGAAGAACCUCACCAGGGCUUGACAUUCUGAUGAAAUCUCGCAGAAACGCGGGACUUCUCACAAGGACAUCAGAACAGGCGCUGCAUGGCUGUCGUCAGUUCGUGGUUUGAAUUGUUCCCUUAAGUGGGGUAACGAACGCAACCCUCGUGCUGUGUUACAAGUAUCACAGCAGACUGCCCUCACAUGGGGGAGGAAGGUGAGGAUGACGCCAAGUCAGCAUGGCCCUUUGAUGCCCUGGGCAACACGCAUGAUACAAUGGCCGGUACAAUGAGUCGCAAAGCCGCGAGGUGAAGCUAAUCUCAUCAAAACCGGUCCCAGUUCGGAUUGGAGUCUGCAACUCGACUCCAUGAAGUCGGAAUCGCUAGUAAUCGCGGGUCAGCUAUACCGCGGUGAAUACGUUCUCAAGUCUUGUACUCACCGCCCGUCACGUCAAGGAAGCCGGGAGUACCCGAAAACUGCCUUUUUGGUGGUCUACGGUAAGCUUGGUAACAGGGACGAAGUCGUAACAAGGCACGGCUAGGGGAACCUG
rnacentral:rRNA from 1 species